AGAGCUUUAGUUUAAUUAAAAUACCUGUGUUGCAAUCAGGGGAUGUGGUGGGACCGCAAGCUCUG
rnacentral:tRNA from 1 species